AGGAUAAACACUGGCGGCGUGCAUGAGACAUGCAAGUCGAACGGACGAUCAGGGCUUGCUCUGAUCGUUAGUGGCGGACGGCUGAGUAACGCGUAGGUGACCUGCCCCGAAGUGGGGAAUAACUGCCCGAAAGGGUGGCUAAUACCGCAUGUGGUGGUGUGUUCAUUCACACCAGUAAAGCCGCAAGGCGCUUCGGGAGGGGCCUGCGUCCGAUUAGCUCGUUGGUGGGGUAACGGCUCACCAAGGCGACGAUCGGUAGGUGGUCUGAGAGGACGAUCACCCAGACUGGGACUGAGACACGGCCCAGACUCCUACGGGAGGCAGCAGUCGGGAAUUUUGCGCAAUGGACGAAAGUCUGACGCAGCAACGCCGCGUGAGGGAUGAAGGCCUUCGGGUUGUAAACCUCUUUUAUCAGGGAAGAUAAUGACGGUACCUGAUGAAUAAGUCACGGCUAACUACGUGCCAGCAGCCGC
rnacentral:rRNA from 1 species